rnacentral:SRP_RNA from 1 species
CGGCGGGCUAGGCCGGGGGGUUCGGCGUCCCCUGUAACCGGAAACCGCCGAUAUGCCGGGGCCGAAGCCCGGGGGGCGGUUCCCGAAGCCGCUCCCGGAAGCCGGGACCGAACGAUGAGUCCUCGUCCCGCGGGGUGCCCGGUGGGGGAGGCACGGCUGAAGGGCCGUGCUAACCCCCUUUGGGCCCUGAACCCCGCAAGGCCCGGAAGGGAGCAGCGGUAGGGGCCACGGAGCACGCUCGCGGGGGUGCGGGGAUGAGGUAGGGCCCGGUGAAAGGGAGCGGUGGAGGGUUCCCACCUCCGGGCGCGCCCGCCG